ensembl:lncRNA
GUGAGUGCUCGCAGGUGUCUGCGCGGGGGAGGCGCCGGACCGCCCGGCCCCCGCCCGCCGGCUCGCUCCUUCUCUCCUCGCGGGCAGCCCCGCCCUGCCCGGGAGCUCGGGCCUGGCCCCGCCCCCUCCCGCGCUCCGCCCCCUCCCGCGCCCCGCCCCCUCCCGCGCUCCGCCCCUCGGGCCGAGCCUCGGCCGCCGCCGCCGCGGGGGAGGAGGAGGGGGAGGAGGGAGGCCGCCCGCCGCCCCCGCCCUCCCUGCGCGCUGCUCGGCGGCGGCCCCAUGUCCCCGGGCCCGAAGCCCCGCGGCGGGCGGCCCCCCCCGCGCGCGGCCGAGGUGGGGCGCCUCGUGUCCCCGCCCCGCGCCGCCGCGCUCCCCCGCGCCCGCCGGGGACAUGGUACGUUCCAGUGGCCCCGCGCUCAGCCCCGCCGGGGGGGCUUCGGCGGCGGCGGGGAGGACGCGGCGGCGGCGGCGGCGGCGGCGGCGCACGAGGGGCUGGGGCUGGGGCUGGGGCCGGCGAGCCGCGGCCGAGGGCGCAGCAGCGAGCCGAGAGCCGCACCCCCGCCGCCCCGGGCCGCGGCCACGGCCACGGCCGGCAGCAGCAGCGGCGGCGGCGGCUUCGCCCCUCGCUGGCACCCGGCGGGCCCCCCGCGGGCUGGCAUGACUCUGUUCGGCAGCGAAGAAGCGUGUCGGAGAUGUGAGUGCCGCGCGGGGGCGGGCGCGGGGGCGCGGGCGGGGGGCGCGAGCCGGGAGCGCGCCCAGCGCGCCCCUCCCCCUCCCCGCCGCCCCACGCGUGAACUCCGCGGGGCCUUUUGUUCGCGGGCGAAGGCCCUGCCCCGGACCGUUGGGGGGCGGCGGUUAGCGGGGCCGGGCCCAUCGGGCUGGGCCGGGCGAGCCGCCCCGCCCCCCUGCUCUGCCGCGGCGUCCCCUCCCCCACCCGCCGCCCCUUCCCCCGGAUCUCCUUGAGGUUCGUCCUCUCCCCGGGAAAACUGAGGCCUGGGUCGGGGAGGAGCCCUGGCGUCCCGGCGGGCGCUGCGGGGGGCCGGGGGGCCUGGCCAGGACCUGCGAGAACCCCAAGCUUUAGUGUCUGGCUCAGUAUGCACUUGGUGAGACUCUCCAGUGGGUUUCAGCACUUGAUUGAGCCUCACGUCUGCUAACAGGACACAGCGAACCACUGAUUUAGACAUGGCCAGAGACCCCAAAGGGAGCCGGGCCCGGCCCGGCCAGAAGCGACAGCACAGCGCUACCCUCUACCACAGUAACUGUGACCUGAACUAUGAGCUGUAUCGGGAAGACUUCCCCUACAGGGUGUAUGAAUAUCAGAGGAUCCCCCCACUUAUCAACCGAGCGCCUGUCAAGAGCAGACGGACUCACAUGGGAACAGGGGGCAAGAGUGGCCUCAACCCCCACAUCCCCCCACGAAGCAACAACCCACCCCCUGUCCGGACAAAGUUAAGAGCUGAGGAGCUGCACUCGAUCAAGGGGGAGCUGAGCCAGAUCAAAGCCCAGGUGGACAGUCUGCUCGAGAGUCUGGAGCGCAUGGAUCAGCGGCGAGACCGGCUGGGAGGGCCCCAAGACAGUGAGAAGAAGGUGGCCUCGGCCGGCGGGGAGUCCUCCAGUGCGGCCACGGAGGCCCAGCGGGAGCCCAGGGGCAAAGAGAGCCCGGAGGCCAGAGCUCGCAGCCGCAGGGAGGCCGACAGUGCUGAAGAGAGCACGGACACGGAGGAGGCGAUGAAAAACCACACAUCGGACCCUGACGGGAGCCAGUAGAAGCACUGGGGCCCUUCCUGGGUCGGCCUCCCAGCCGGUGCCACGUGAGACCUGCCCUCCAGCCUCUCCUCCAGAAGCUGGGCACAAGUCCCUGAGGUGCAGGCCUAGAGAAUGGGCCUGGGGAGGCAGGAAAAUCCAGCAGGUCUAGAAUUUCCCUUUGAAAAAACUCCACCCUCCUUUCCUCUGUGCUGUUUCCCCCACCUCAUGAAAAAGGGGUUCCCUUGGUAGUAAGGCUUGGCAGGACGGGCAUUUGGGGGAAGCAUCUGGGCCAACAAUUCCAAGUUCUUCCCAAAUUGCUCAGUGAUGAUUUUCAGUUCCCCGUCCCCACCGGGUACCCACUCAUUUCUUCUUGAAGAAACAUUCCCAGGGGUAGAAACCCCCCCAUCUCUUGGACAGUCAGUCCAUUUACAACAGUAUUGGCUCUCUUCCUGGCUCCAGCAGACACGACCCAGGUUUUGCUCUCAAUAUUAGCCAUUCGACACAGAAACCCCCAGUGUUCCUUAUGGGGCUCCCCCAGCUUUCUUUCUGCCCAGCCAGUGUUGGGGAGACAUUGGCCGCAUACCCCCUCAUCCCCGCGAUGUGAGGUGAGAUCGAUACCAUUCUGUGCUUUCUCUGGUCCCCGAGAACCCCUACCAAGCCAGGCCAAGGGCAGCCGCCUCAGCUCCUGGUGGCUCAUCAAGGUUCCCCCUUUUCCCAGCACCCCGUGGCUUCAAUGUUUUGCACUAUUAGCCUUCAUGUGACCCCUUCUUCUCCCCCGGCCCCUGCAGAAUUCCAUACCCACAGUGGUGCAUGGGAAAUGAGUUCUGUUUCCGACAGGUGCGUUUCUGCUCCGUAGAAGAUAAGUCAGGUCCUUGGUCGAUGUUGCCCCGGUUAGCCCCGUUACUUCCUUGUCCCCCCUUCCCCCAUGCUGUCCUUUCAGAACAGGUGUAGUUCAUUCUUAUGUCCAGUUUCUAGCUUGUCUUCUUGCUGGUAUGAUACUGUGUAUUUCAAAUCUGCUCUGGAAAAGUGUAUUGUGUUGAAAGGAAAAAAAAUUAAAAGUUUGUAUUUCUUUUCUCUGGUUAAA